UCUAUAUUAUACAUCUCCUCCCACAAUCUCAGCAGUCCGUCGUCCCUGCAGUUUUCUUCCCUUUCAGUGAAGUGUGGAGGAGAAACGCAACGAGUUGUGAUUUUUUUUUCAAUAUCUUCUCUUCUGCAAGUUCUGCUUCUUCCGCGAAGUGGGAAGGAGAAAUCGAGAGAGUGUGACUUUUCAAUACCUUCUGCUUGUGCAAAUUUUCUUCUCUUCAAAGGGUAAAAUUUUGCACGUUGUUGAGGUUGGGACAGGAAGUUUGUGGAGGAGCUAAGCUUUUGAGAUUGAGCGACGACGGGCGUGGAGGAUGUUGAGCAGAAUUCAUGGAUUAUUUAUGUUUGGCUUAAUAUUGUUGGAUAUGUCGUGUCUUCAUACUCGGCAUUUUCCGUGUCUUGAACGCUUCCGCUAGGUGUCUUUUCUUUAAAAUUGUUUUAGUAUUGAGAACCUAACUCUUUUCAAAAUUGUCUACUUUCUAGUCUUUA